GGGGAAGCAUUGUAUGAAGGGUGCACCCUGCACAACCGUCGAAAGGGAAUUGGGUUAAUAUUCAUGAACUAGGACAUGGUGGCGGGUAUCAACAUUAGGAAAUCUGGAGACGUCGUCAGGGGCCCCAGGAAGAGUUAUCUUUUCUUUUUAAUAGAUUUCCCACCUUGGAACGGUUCACCCAGAGAUAGUGUCCAACAGAUGGAAGAGAACUUCACAUUUUGUAGUGUCUAGUGCACCCUCAGUGGCCCUUCAAAAUCUAGAGGACCAAGUACUAUUCAUGCCUAGUCAUACUCAUAAAUGCAUCAGGUCUCCAAGGUGAGAAACCUCUGGUCAAUAUAACCAUGUAGGUAAGGGAAGUAGGCAAAAUGGAUCUGUAACUUUGGGAGAAUGAUUUGCUCUAAGGGAUAGGAUUAGGGGUUUGUGCAUUCAACUCUUGGACUAUUGGUAGUCUUCCUAAGCUGCUCUCAUGGUGAGGGCAGGCAGCCGUGUGCCAAUUGGGCUAUGGGCAUAGAAUGCCCCCUAUCAAGGGAUUUUCCCUAGGUAGUGAAUAGUUGACCCAAAACUAGUACGGAAAAGGUGAAUCUGACUGUUUAAUUCAAACAGAGCAUUGCGAUUGUCCUUGUAGAUGUUGAUGCAAUUUGAUUUCUUCCUAGUGCUAUGAAUGUUAAAGUCAAGAAAUUCAACCAAGCGCGGGUAAACGAUGGGAGUAAAUAUGACUCUCUUAAGGUAUCCAAAUGCCUCGUCAUCUAAUUAGUGACAUGCGUGAAUGGAUUAACGAGAUUCCCUUUGUCCCUAUCUACUAUCUAGUGAAACCACAGGCAAGGGGAAAGGGCUUGGAAAAAUCAACAGCGAAAGAAGACCCUAUUGAGCUUGACUCUAAUCCGACUUUAUGUAAUGACUUGAGAGGUGUAAAAUAAGUUGGAGUCAUUUUUGGUGAAAGUGAAAUACCACUACUUUUAACAUUAUUUUACUUUUUUUGUGGGGCGGAGAUGGGGCACUACCACUAUUUUUUGUCCUUAAGGUGCAUUUCGGUAGGUCAAUCUGGGUGGAAGAAAUUGUUAGGUGGGGAGUUUGGCUCGGGUAGCAGAUCUGUUAAAAGAUAACGUAGGUUUCCUGAGAUGAGCUCAACAAGAACAAAAAUAUCAUGUGGAACAGAAGGGUAAAAGCUCAUUUGAUUUUUAUUUCUAGUAUGAAUACAAACCAUGAAAGCAUGGCCUAUCAAUCCUUUAGAUUUUUAGAAUUUGAAUCUAGAGGUGUCAGAAAAGUUACCAGAGGGAUAACUCGCUUGUGGUAGCCAAGCAUUGAUAACGACAUUGCUUUUUUAUCCUACGAUGUCAGCUAUUCCUAUCAUUGUGAAGUAGAAUUCACCAAGUGUUGUAUUUUUCACCCACCAAUAGGGAAUGUGAGUUGGGUUUAGAUCAUCGUGAGACAGGUUAGUUUUACCCUACUGAUCAACUGCACUAUUGUGGUGAAGUAAAAUCAUAAGUGUGGACACAAACAAAUUCCUCUAGGUUGAUAAUGGGUCUAGCCACAAUAGAUAUAUUCUAUGGAAUAUUUCCUUAGGUGAGAACUAAUUAAGAGGGCCUACCUCUUAGUACGCUUAUUCCACUUGAUGAUGUCCUUGCUUGCUUGCUACAGCUAUCUAUCACUUCCUUUUCAAGCACCUGAAACAAGUAAACAACAACAAUGAUAAUAGACAAAUUGUAAGUCAACCUACUUAACAAGUCAAGAAACAUUGACCCAUGAAUAUGUAAGAUGACAAAUCAUGUAGGAAAUCAAUUGAUAGUUUCAUAUAUUAAUAU
rnacentral:rRNA from 1 species